CUGAAGAAGAGGAGUCAGAGGAGGAAGGUGGCUUUGAGGAGGUGGAAGACCAAACACAGCAGGCGUCCCAGGGGGCUUGUUGUCACCUUUCGGGGACCCUUGGUGUUGUACGUGGCUGGGUGGAGGAAAAGACCUUCAAUGACAUCAGUGAGGACAAGGAACGGGACAUGGCUAGCUUGGUAUCCAACCUUGUGCAAAUGGGGAGUUUGCGGUUGU